rnacentral:rRNA from 1 species
UUCCAGACUCCUACGGGAGGCAGCAGUGAGGAAUAUUGGUCAAUGGCCGAGAGGCUGAACCAGCCAAGUCGCGUGAGGGAUGACGGCCCUACGGGUUGUAAACCUCUUUUGUCGGGGAGCAAAGAGAGUCACGUGUGGCUCAUUGAGAGUACCCGAAGAAAAAGCAUCGGCUAACUCCGUGCCAGCAGCCGCGGUAAUACGGAGGAUGCGAGCGUUAUCCGGAUUUAUUGGGUUUAAAGGUUGCGAAGGCGGAAGAUAAAGUCAGGGUUAAACUGGGGAGGCUCACCCUCUUCGAGCCGUUGAAACUGGUUUUCUUGAGUGAGCGAGAAGUAUGCGGAAUGCGUGGUGUAGCGGUGAAAUGCAUAGAUAUCACGCAGAACUCCGAUUGCGAAGGCAGCAUACCGGCGCUCAACUGACGCUCAUGCACGAAAGCGUGGGUAUCGAACAGGAUUAGAUACCCCCGUA